AUUGGAUUAUAUGACUGGCGGAUAAAUAUGGAUCUAACCAUAGGGGAAUAUAAUCUUUAGUAAAUCGCCCGCCUGGAUAUUGAGU
rnacentral:ncRNA from 1 species